UUCUUUUUUCUUCUUUUUUAGGCCGAACCUUAACCUUCUUGCGCCGGUGAAGCUUCCUCCAUUCGACGGCGCGGUGGUCGGCGCGCCUCCCUUCUCAUCCUCUCUCUUUUUCUUUCUUCUCUUCUUUCUUUUUGGUUGCUAUUUUUUUGCUUGCUGUUUUUGUUUCUUUUUGUUUGUUUUUGCUUGUUGCUUUGCUUGCUUAUGUAGGGGCGACGGUGGUGGUGCUGUCACGGUGACGGUGCGACGGCGGUGGUUGCGAGAGCGCGACGGUGGUGGCAGUGGAGCAAUCAUGGCCUAGGGAGGCUGCUGGAGUAGCUCGGCUGCCGAUUGGGUGAUUUGACAAGUCUAGAAGGACCAAAUUGCAUAAGAUGCAAAGCUUCUAGGUCAAAAGUGUAAUUUUAGCAAAAAUAUGGACCAAAAUGUAAUUUCUUGAAAGUUUAGGGGUUAAAAUGAAAUUUUGAGAAACUUUAAGGGUUGAAAUGUAAUUUUAGAAAAUUUUGGGGUCAAAAUGUAAAUUUUAAAAAGGUUUAGGGUCAAAAUGUAAA